rnacentral:rRNA from 1 species
UACAGAGGUCUCAAGCGUUGUUCGGAUUCAUUGGGCGUAAAGGGUGUGUAGGUGGCGCCGUAAGUCGGGUGUGAAAUUUCGGAGCUUAACUCCGAAACUGCAUUCGAUACUGCGGUGCUUGAGGACUGGAGAGGAGACUGGAAUUCAUGGUGUAGCAGUGAAAUGCGUAGAGAUCAUGAGGAAGACCAGUGGCGAGGGCGGGUCUCUGGACAGUUCCUGACACUGAGACACGAAGGCCCAGGGGAGCAAACGGG